rfam:Ovis aries breed Texel chromosome 12, whole genome shotgun sequence.
UCCCUAGUGACUUAGAUGGUAAAGAAUCUGCCUGCAAUGCAGAAGACCUGGGUUCGACCCCUGGGUUGGGAA